rnacentral:rRNA from 1 species
UACAGAGGUCCCAAGCGUUGUUCGGAUUCACUGGGCGUAAAGGGUGCGUAGGUGGUGAGGUAAGUCGGAUGUGAAAUCUCCGAGCUCAACUCGGAAACUGCAUUGGAAACUACCUUGCUCGAGGGUUGGAGGGGGGACUGGAAUGCUUGGUGUAGCAGUGAAAUGCGUAGAUAUCAAGCGGAACACCAGUGGCGAAGGCGAGUCCCUGGACAACUCCUGACACUGAUGCCCGAAAGCUAGGGGAGCAAACAGG